rnacentral:rRNA from 1 species
GACGAACGCUGGCGGCGUGCUUAACACAUGCAAGUCGAACGGAAUGUAGUAGACAUAAGCCUCUGCUAAAGAUUACUAAUUAGAGUGGCGAACGGGUGAGUAACGCUUGAGCAACCUGCCUAUGACAGUGGGAUAGCCUCGGGAAACCGGGAUUAAUACCGCAUAAAAUCGUAGAAACACAUGUUGUAACGGUCAAAGAUUUAUCGGUCAUAGAUGGGCUCGCGUCUGAGUAGCUAGUUGGUGAGAUAACAGCCCACCAAGGCGACGAUCAGUAGCCGGUCUGAGAGGAUGAACGGCCACACUGGAACUGAGACAAGGUACAAACUCCUACGGGAGGCAGCAGUGGGGAAUAUUGAACCAUGGGGGACACCCUGAUGAAGCGACGCCGCGUGAACGAAGCAGGUAUGCGUAUCGUAAAGUUCUGUUCUAUGGGAAGAUAAUGACAGUACCAUAGAAGAAAGCUCCGGCUAAAUACGUG